GGCGAACGCUGGCGGCGUGCCUAAUACAUGCAAGUCGAGCGAAGUUUUUCUGGUGCUUGCACUAGAAAGACUUAGCGGCGCACGGGUGAGUCACACGUAAAGAACCUGCCUCAUAGACUGGGACAACUAUUGGAAACGAUAGCUAAUACCGGAUAACAGCAUUAACUGCAUGGUUGAUGUUUAAAAGUUGGUUUUGCUAACACUAUGAGAUGGCUUUGCGGUGCAUUAGCUAGUUGGUGGGGUAAAGGCCUACCAAGGCGACGAUGCAUAGCCGACCUGAGAGGGUGAUCGGCCACACUGGGACUGAGACACGGCCCAGACUCCUACGGGAGGCAGCAGUAGGGAAUCUUCCGAAAUGGGCGAAAGCCUGACGGAGCAACGCCGCGUGAGUGAAGAAGGAUUUCGGUUCGUAAAGCUCUGUUGUUAGGGAAGAAUGAUUGUGUAGUAACUAUACACAGUAGAGACGGUACCUAACCAGAAAGCCACGGCUAACUACGU
rnacentral:rRNA from 1 species